rnacentral:rRNA from 1 species
UACAGAGGUCUCGAGCGUUAGGCGGAAUCACUGGGCUUAAAGCGUGUGUAGGCGGACUUCUAAGUACCUUGUGAAAUCCCACGGCUUACCCGUGGAACGGCUGGGUAUACUGGUUGUCUUGAGCCACGUAGGGGCUACCGGAACAAAUGGUGGAGCGGUGAAAUGCGUAGAUAUCAUUUGGAACGCCAAUGGUGAAAACAGGUAGCUGGGAGUGUGCUGACGCUGAGACACGAAAGCCAGGGGAGCGAACGGG